GGAUAUAGGAAUGACCAGCAUCCCCACUACACCAAUGAAACAAACUGGGAGAGUUACUCCAAUGUUUGGGAAAGCAACCACCAUCAGAAGCAUGCCAUAUGUUCGUGGUAACAACAGCGCACAAAAGUAAAUCAGAAGUGACAGACCCAACUUGUGGAGAUUUCUAAAGAUAAUACAGUCACACCCAAUGAAUAAAUACAAAUAACAUC